UAAUUCUGAAUGAGAAUUGAUUGUAAACUACUUCCAAAUAAAAAAGAAAAAAAAAUAAGAAAAAUUCAACAUUCGCAGAUAUUAAGUUUUUAAACCCACACAAAAGAAGAAUAAAAGUUCUUUCAGUUGUCUAAAACUUGUCUUUCAGAGUCUAAAUAAAAACCGUAAGAGAACGUCCGUGUGGAGAACCAUGCAUCAGAGUUUAAUUAUUACGAACCUGUUGGUAUGGCGGCGACACAAGGAUAUCCGCAGAUUGAGUCGCUCCUUCGGGAUGACAAUCUCCCUGUCGAGCUGCCAUUCAGCUACUCGUCGGUGGUCUUUGAGGACCUAUCACGGAGACUGCUUCGUCAUUGUCACCGGAAGUAGCGUGUUCCCGUCAGAAGCGGCUGAAAAUCUCGAUAAAAUCAACCUACUCUACCGUUCUCAUUGAUCAUUGCAUUAAGCUUUGUUUUAUUGCGCGAUUAACACUAACUAUCAAAAUAGUAAAAAUAAUCAAUUUAUAAUUUUUCAUAGAAAUUUUGUAAAUCCACGAUAAUGUAUUUUGGGGUUUGAAUAAUUCUUUAUAAAAUACACUUGCUUAUGAAAGUAUUUGAACACUUAUCAUAGAAAACUUUUGAUCACCAUAAAGAGUAAAUAUCAAGGUAAAUUCUGAAAAAUAGUAUUUGUAGCAUCAGUUUUCUCAAUUUCCCAAUUUAUGCAAUUGAUCAGUAGAUAAAUUAUCGAAAUAUCGAAUGCGUUUAUUCUGGAAAUAUUGAGUCACGAGUAUCCUGAAACAUAAAAAUACAAGGCGUAUCAAUGACUUUAUCGAUUCUAUCAAUUUUGCUAAUCGCAGCACGAAAUUUCGUCUUCGUAUUCCAUGAUCAAAUGUUGAAUACGUUUAUUCUGGAAAUAUUGGGUCACGAAUGACCUAAAACAUAAAAAUACGAAGUCAUAUCGAUCGCUUUAUGUCUCUUGCUAUUCUUAUAUCAAAGAAAAAGGGCAUUCCACUAAUAAAAACCGUUGUCCAAGUAAGAGAAGCAAGAAGAUAUUUACAGCAAUGACGUGGCCACUCAAGAGGAGAUCGCUAAAUCAGAAAAACGGAAGGACGAGGUCAGUAAGGUGAGAGUAAACAAGAUAAACGUUAAUGCCAAAGAACGCUAGUUAUUUUCAUUUUCACUGACUCAGACGGAAACGAUUUGCUCCGUAACGAAGUUAACACAUUGUCUAUUGGUAAUGCGGCAAUUACUGGAUUUAAUAUGCACAGUUAUACAAUCGUAAACGUUGACAAUGCGAACGUACGUGGAAGAUAUCUGAAUGAAGAUAUGUGGUUUCAAUGAAAUUCAAAACACAACGUUAUCCUAUAUAUAAUGCAAUAUCAUAUAAUACAACGUAAUACAAUAAUUCUAUAUAAUAUAAACGACGUAAAAUAUGUGACACAAAAGGUAGUAAAAUGACAAGAAAUUUGGAAUGAAAAAUUUAGAAAAUAAUUAUUUCUUUGUCGUCGUUGAAAAACAUCUUACCUAACGCAAUAAAAGAAUAAUUCAUAAAUAAUUCAUUUUACGAACUGUGAAAAGGUACGUUGCCUUACGGAAUGUUAAACGAAGUCCCCGUGAAACGUAGAGAGAUCAAAGGUUUCUCAAACGUGUAUCGCCAAGAUAAUUUCAAAAUUACGAUAUUAUAUUACACGGUGGUAAACACACACUGUACGACUAAAUAGAAAAUCAACGCGUUGGCAAUCUCGACGGGAGAUCUUGGAAGCUUGAGGUAAAAUCGAAAAGUAGAAACAAACGACGGAGAGAGGUGAGAAGAGAAGACGUUGGCGAGGAAUGAAAGCAGAGUGAGGAACCACGAAAGACAAGUAUCAGGAAGAGAGGCCGGGUUUUGCAGCGUAGCAGCAACGGGAAGAGGCGAACAAGGAAGCCGUGGGGAGGUCGUAAGAAGGCAUAACGAGGAAGAAAGAAUUGAACAAGAACGGUAGGUGCAUAAAUGAAAAGCAAUGCGAUGCAUCGCAGUGCGCGUAUGCCCGACGAGUUAUACAUAUCUGGAUCCGCGCGUUUAAUUGCUUACAAUGGACCACCCGUUCGAUGCACACCGCUUACUCGGUUGAUAUGGAUCAUUUAUUAAUAAAUGUACAGUAGUCUUGGACAUUUAAAUAUUUUAUAAUAUAAAUAAGUAGAAUUCAGUAUUUUACUUUCUGUAAUGUUUCUAGUGGAACUUGGAAUUACAAAUAUCCUGUUACUUGAAGUGUACUCCACAUAUUGAUUCUUUCAGGAAUAAUUGUACACCAUUUUUAUAUCACUUUUAUAUCAUAGCAGUUGUACGGUGAUAAGAACUGAACAGUAAAUAUAAAUAUUGUAAAGAUAGAUAGUAAGAAAAAGAGCAAACCUGUCUUAAGUAGGUAAGCUUCAUAAAAUUGUAAAAGAAGAUAGAGGGGGAAGUAGUAACAAGAAAAUAUUCAGCAGAUUCUUGAAAUUCUUUCCCAUAACAAGAAUGUUCAAAAAUACAGAAUUUAACAUAGCUGUUUUCCGUUUAUGACAUAGUACGUUAGGUAGCAUUACGUUCGUUAUCAUCUGUUUCUGAUUAUUGGUGCUGUAACUGUUUAAGCAGGCAACAGAUUACAGGAAAUGAACUUGCACUACUUCCAAAAUAAUUGAUUAUGCAAUGUCAUUUAUUAACGAAACCUCAAUUGAUUAAAACAAACGAAUAUUUUAAGUUUACAUUAAAAACUUUUUAUAUUAAUAAAUUCUAUAAAUGAAAGUUUAUGAAUAAUUUAUAAAUAAAUUUAUAAAUAAAAAGUUCACGUUAAAGUGUACGUAAAUUCUUCGUUUUCUCAAUUUUUUUUACAAAAUGGAUUUGCCACUGAAAAUAUAUGGUCGAAUUAAGAUAAAAUUUUAUACAGUCCAGAAAAUACUAACCAUUUACACAUAUAAAAGCCACAUAAAACGGUGGAAUGUAUUUGUAGAAAAUCACUUUGUUCCAUUUAUUUAUUGACGUAAGUCGUAACAAAUUUCGUGUUUAAAUAUUUAAUAUUGCCAUUAUAUCACACGUUUAAAAUUGCGAUGUGAAUUGAAAAUCUCGCUUUUACAAUGACGCUUUUACCCUUUUCAAACGCUCAGGACAUUCUUCCAAAAGAAAUUCACCACCAAAUUGCAGCAUUUUACGGUAAUAAAGUUAGAGAUGAAUCAUUGAUCAGACGAUGAGUGCACGAAUUCAAUGAACAAACUGUAUGUGAUCGUAAAUGUUCUCGCCGCCUCUCUCUCAUUACAGAGGAGCUGAAGAACGUGCCUGCGACUUCAUUGCAAAUGAUGGAAACGUCAAACGAGUCAGAUUACCAUUUUCUUUUUUUUGCAAAACUUAAAUAGUUUUCUGGUCGAUAAUCGUUUCAGAAGAAACGAUGAUUUAAAGGACUGCGUAAGACGAUGGUUAUGCGAACUGGCAGUGGAAAUGUAUGAAUGAAGGUAUAUGCAAAAUUCAUAUAACGUUAGGACAAGUAUUGGAAUGGGGCUGGUGGUUGUAUUAAAAAAUAACUUAAUAUAUAUACUAUUUAUUUCAGAACUAUUUAUUUCAGGUGAUAUUGAUCCAGAUCAAAUUUAAACUUGGAAAACCACACUGUGAGUUUAGCUAAAUUGCGCUAAAAUUGAUAUAAAUUUCUCAAGGAAGUUGCAAAAUUAAAAAAAAGUUCUGAAUGAUAUAUCCCAUUAAACAACGUUAGCAAUAUUCAGGCUUACAAAUAGGCGAUUAAUUUCACUAAUUAAAACAGCAACAGCAAACUGUCUAAGAGAAAAUAGAGCAAAUAUCGCUGUUGCAUAUUCGUGUGCCUAUGGAAAUAUUUGCAAAAAGAAAUUAAUUUUUACUAUUAUGCCAUCAACUUGAUGAAAUGUAAAGCCUAACAUCGUUUACGUUCAUCCAGUUAAGUCCUCGUUCAAUGAAUCGAUUGAUUAUUACCUCGCUAUUUCCUUUCGCGAGGGAAUUCAGGGAUUUCGUUGCUUUAUUUUCACCGCGAUCUCGCGUAACAAGUUUCUUCUUCUGGAGAAGCUUCAAUUUUCUACAAAAGGAACAGUUAUUUCGUUGAUUUGCACAGUUCAUAAUCAACAGCGUUAACUGUCACUUACGAUAAUGAUAGUCGCCAAUGACUCACAACCUUCGAUUAAGCAAAUGUUACAACUUAGCAAACAUACGACUAAUUAUGUAAUUGCAAGCCGCGUUUAUCUUCUGGCAUUCGCUGGUUACUAGGAUUAAAAAGCUCCUUUCUCGGCUCGUAUACGUUGCGUGCUUCGAGGAACUUGUAUUCUACGCCUUGGUACUUGUUUUAAUUUUCUGCACGGAAAAAGAACAAGUCGUUAAGGAAGCGGAUUAUUCUCAGAAAGAUUUACAGUCUUCGAUUAUCGAAUUACAUAAAAUAUUUAUCAUUCUCAACUUUUUCAGUUUUUAGUCAGAUUGUCAGGUGUGAGGAAACUUUAUAUGGCAUAGCAAAGUUUAUUAAUUACCAGUAUCUAAUUUGUGUUUAUUUCCUUUAUCUCUAUUGCUACUCAUUAUAAACAUUACGUACUUAACUUAUGCAAAUAUCUUGAAUUUUUGUUUUCUAAUCGAGUAACGAUUAUGGUCGAGAAUGAAUUCAUAAAGAAUGUGAGCAGGUUCUAAUCAUUCUGAAUGAUAUCCAAGUUGGAUUAAUUGCCUAGCUAUGAAAGUAUACCAAAGUAUAUGUCGGAGAUGAAAGGACAUCGGUGCCUUUCUUUUGGAAUGUUUGGGAAGGUCCCCAAUGCUUUAGUCCAGACUUUUUAUUAUAACUGUACUUAAAUACUAAAACUGAGAAAUAGUUGUUUAUAAUCUAAUCCGAGUAUGCGUGCCCAAGAUUUAUGACAUGAAUGUAGUCACGGUCACAAGAGGGACAUGUAUCUAACAGAAAUAUGGAUUAAUUGUAUAGCUCUCCUUAAAAACAAAAAUAUAUGGUAUAUAAGGGCAGUCCCACUUGCACUGAGAUUCAGUCAGAUAAGUUCUACUUGUACUGUAGACAAGUACGUUGAGACACACCCGAAUCGUGGAUCAGUAAGUUGAGUUCGACUUAGACUGUAGCAGAAAUCGCAUUCGUCAUCUCGUUGACCGUGGAUUCGUUAUUGUUGAGAUUAUUAGAUGUAUAAAGAGAGA